rnacentral:rRNA from 1 species
AACGAACGCUGGCGGCAGGCUUAACACAUGCAAGUCGAGCGCCUCCUUCGGGGUGAGCGGCAGUCGGGUGAGUAACGCGUGGGAAUCUACCUUUUGCUACGGAAUAGCUCCGGGAAACUGGAAUUAAUACCGUAUGUGCUCUUAGGGGGAAAGAUUUAUCGGCAAGAGAUGAGCCCGCGUUGGUUUAGCUAGUUGGUGGGGUAAAGGCCUAACAAGGCGUGGAUCCGUAGCUGGUCUGAGAGGAUGGUCAGCCACAUUGGAAGUGAGACACGGCCCAAACACCUGGGGGAGGCAGCAGUGGGGAAUAUGGGAAGAUGGGCGCGAGCGUGAUCCAGGAAUACGGGGUGGGUGAAGAAGGCGUUAGGGUUGUAAAGCGAUGUAGGGGGGAAAGAAGAGCAGCAGUUUAAGAACCCGAGAUUCUGACGGUACCCAAAGAAUAAGCACCGGCUAACUUCGUG